GUUUGCAGUUUGCCUACCUGUUCUUGAAGGAACAAGUCAUUAGCAAUAUGCACUAUUUUUUCCACAGCAAUGAUGCUUCCGAUACUAUGAAUUUCAAUAUCUGCCAUCAUGGUGAGGACAAGGAUGGCUUCUACCAGAAGCUGGCGGUACUCAGGCUGAGGUACACGAUUCAGGACAGACUCCACAUGAACAGAGAAUUUAAUCUCGCCUGGAGUCAUCUGUGAUAGAGAAACAGAAAAUCAAUUCCUAAGAGCCCAUCAUCCAGGAGGCACCUCUUCUGAAAGGCAGUAAAGGCACUGGAGUCAAGAGCGCUGCUCAGUCUUCUUUAAAGUACUGGACUGUAAACUGGGAACUACAAUCCCUUCCUUAGCUGUCUCACAUACCUGUGUUGAUGAUCAAAUUAAAGAAUGUGUGAAGGUACUUUGAAGAUUCUUAAAGGUACCAUUCAGAAGUUACUAUGGCCACGAUAGCCAACUGUGGAAGGAGCCUCGGUGUCCAACGAAAG